ensembl:lncRNA
ACACAGCUCCAGCACGCGGGGCCUCUAGGAAGCUCCUGAUGUGUAGCAGUUAUGGAGACCUUGUCCAAAGUGUGAGAAGAGAUGGUUUGAAUUCCACUGAAGAAGUGAAUUUUACCAGGCGCUGGGGAUAAAGCCAAAAAGAAGCAUUAGAAAUACGUACGUAAAAAAUGGGAGAGAAGAUGUUGCUCCUAACUUGAUAAUGCACAGAUGCUAGCACUGCUGUGUAAAAUUCAUGCAAGUCUUCCUUGGCAACUGCAGUGAAAUGAAACCUAAAGUGACAGCCUGAGACAAAGAGGAAAGCCAAAGCACGCUGUGCUGUGCAGGGCCUGGCUGAGUGGGUGACGUCGCUCAGAGAGCCACCAUUCGAGUGUCACAGCUGUCACCAUCCAUUCCCCGCACAUCAAAUCCAUUCUGCUUCUGUCUGGGGCAGGAGCUUGUUACCUCAGAAGCUGACGAGAACCAGAGAUUUUUUUUCAUAUUUCCUCUUUGCCUCAACUACGUGCUGUCAGUUAGGAAAUCCACAGCUCAGUAUUGACAUGUGUGAUUCCCAGUUUGACUUCUGCGCUGGAGUCCAACUGGAACUGUGCACCAGUGAAGGUCUGCUUGCAUAAAGGGCCUCUCUGAAAUGGGGCACUCAAGAGACAAAGGCCUGUUCAUAUAUAAAAGGGGGAAGAGAAUACUGGAACAAAGAGGAAUUUCUACUAUUUCCUGCUUUGGUAUAUUCACAAAAAUCAGACCUUUUUAGUGAAUGAAUGCCAGUAACAGAUUAUAUAUCCUUAUGUUUAUUAAUUACCUUUCCUUUCUCAUUCAAGCUUUGAUAGCUGCUAUUCUCAAAUAGGUAACAGAUAAACAUAAUGAACUCUUCUGGAUGAAGGCUGAAAGUCACAGAGCUAUGAAAUAAUGCAAUUGAAAAUGGAGGAAGAGUGGUCCCAGUGCUGUCAUACCAGCAGUGAAUGCACAUCAGACAAUGCAAAAUGCUGUACGCUCAACAGAGACAUGGUCCAUAAUACAAGAGCAUAGGAAUUUCAUUUCCAUGCAGAGCUCAAUACAAUUAAAAAAGAAAAAAAAAGAAAAGAAAGAAAAAAGAAAGAAAAAAAAGAGCGGGAUUAUAUGAGUGGUAAUUUGGUGUUAUGGAUAUAUGGAUGAGGUAUUUUCUUAGAAGCCUUAAAAUGAUGAUGAUUGCAGUUUGGUCCAUGACCCGGGGGGGGACUUCCUGCUUCUGCUGGUGAGUUUGCUUGUUUGUUUGUUAUUGCGCACAUUGCUCUAGAGAAGUAGGACUUAGCAAGAAAAAUUAACCUAUUUUACUUUAUUUUUUACUUCUAUAGCGUUGCUAUUGCAAUUCCAUAGAGUUCCAUUAUUUUCUCAUGCAGAAGCACAUUAUAACUUUUAGUUUUCAUUGUUUCAGAUGAAUGUUUAUAUUUAAAAAAUGAUAAUAAUUAUGUUUUUCACUAAAGAAAGUUGUGGGACUUCUCAUUACAACCUCUAUAAAAUGUGAAGAUUUACUCUUCAGCAUGGAGAGAGAGAGAGAGGGGCAUCACAUCCCUCUCCUGCCUUUGUUCAGGGGAAAAGAAAACUUCAUUUUUUAUAUUUUAGGAUAGUCUAUUUUAAGAACUAGUCCAUAGAAGUCCAUGGAGUUUAAUGUCAUUUCUUCAACUGCAAUGCAAAGAGAAACUGAAACAUGAAAAAAAGCACAUGCUGAGAAAUAAUAUUCUGGCAGUGGAGUUCAUUUUCAACAAAAAACAAAUAAUACUGGUCCCCUCACAAAGACUUGGUAAAUAUUAACUAGCACCCAGACGACAUAAGCAAUGACUCAGAUACACGGGAAAAAAAAGCCCCCAAAGUUCCUGUUUCACUGGAGCAUUCCAGAACCUGCUGCAGUGAACCUCAGGAAGUCAGGCCAUGUCUGGAGGGCACAGCAGCACUGUGGCCCAAUGUCCCCCAUGGCCAUCUUCUCCCUGUCUCCUCUUGCAAGUUUGGAGUGAACAACAGAAAGCAGUCGCUCCUCAGAGUGCUGUCUUUUCAGGGACUGACUGCAAGAUUUCAAGUUGUUGAUCAUACGGACUUGAUUGUAGAUGUGAGUUGCACCUUCCUGACUACAAACACUGAGCCAGGUUAAUGUCUGUACCUUAGGAGCCUUAGGAGCACAAAAAGUUCUGCUCCCCUGAAAGGGACUUCAAAGAAGAAAGGAAAAAAAAAGCCAUCGGUUCAACAAUUUACAUAUUCCUCUCACGAAAGAAAAAUGGGGAGAAACAGUACAUAUGCUUACUACCCAGCUUCCUUCCUUGUGAGGAACCUCCUCUGACUGCCAUGACCUUUCUAAGGUAAUCAAGAGUGGCUUCACAAUGACACUGACCAGCUUCCUCAGUGCUCGUGGGGAUCUCAUCAGGUCACAUGGACUUGUGCACGCACAAUUUCUUUAAAUCUUCCCUGACAUGAUCCUCUUCUGUACAGGGAAAUGUUUCUGGUUUGAGCCAUGUGAAUGUCGGAGGGGAGAACACUGAUUUCACUUAUAUAUGUGAGAUCUCAUCUGUGUAUGCCCAGAACAUGUCUGUUAAACUCAAUGGAUUAAUUCCAGAUUUUCAUCCCUGUAAAUGAGAUCAGAAUUGUCUUGGAAUGUGCUUUUGGCUCUUAGCACCCCCUCCCCCAACACAAACACUCAGUACAGAGAGGGAUUUUUCUGUUCAUCCUAAUUAAGAAAGAAAGAGAUAGAUAGAGAAGGACAUUCACAGACAUCGAAAGUGUGAAUACUUCUUUGUAGAUAGGUACAAAACCAGACUUGGCAAUGUGUCCUUACUUGCUGUUUCACCCUGUUAUUUUUUUUAUGGAGAAGCUUACGUAUUGGGAAUAAUAUAGCAGCUCCCUAUAUCUGAAUAUUGUCAUCAACCAGGCAAAUUUGGAUACAAAAUGUAGCUUGUAACUAUACCAAAAACAAAGCAAAACAAUAGCAACAAAAAAAAAAAAAAAAAAAAAAAAAAGAAAGAAAGAAAAAAACAACCAAACCAACCCAAACAAAUCAACAACAAAAUCACACACCAACAAAAAACCUGAUUCCUGAUUCUUGAAGACAGAAACAGGUCCUUAAGAAUGCUGGAGCAUUACUUAGCCAGAACACUAAAUAACAGAGUAUUUAGCAAGCACAGAAGAUAAAAGUUUUAUUUUGAAUUGAAAAACUGAGACUGAAUUGAAAAGAUGCUAAGGAAAAUUUUUAGUCUUUUCAGUUGCUCGGAAAGAAAAAAAUAUCAACAACACUCCCUCCAGUAUAACCAGUUCUAUGCCUCUUCAGCAUAACUGGUAGGAGACACAUAGUACAAACAUUCAAUCCAGAAUCCUUACAUCCCCAGAAUCGGAACCGUAGAUACCCAAAGUGGUGGUACUAAUGGCAUCCUCUGCAUAGCUGCUGAAGGGCUAUGUUGACCCCCAUGAUAAUAUUGUACAGUACUUUGACUCAUCUUUAAUUCUGAUUAAGCUGUGCAAUUUUAUCAAUUUAAGGUCAAGGUCUUGAAUAAAUUCUUUUGUGAGGACUAUUAGCAGGUCUUUUAAAAUUAAAAAGACCCGUGUGUCUAAUGGUCUUAUGAGAAUAGAAUUACAAACGAUGAUCUUUAAAAUAAAUUGUAAUUUUAUGGAUACUUAUUAGGAGAAUUUAUUGUAUUGGUAAUUUGCUAUAUCAUAAGUGCCACUGCCAGUUUAGUGAGUUGUAGCAGAAGAAAAGAAUGCAGCAGCUACUUAUUACUGUAUUUUUGUCCUUGCCUUUGGUGCUGUUGAUUUGAAGUGUGGGGGAGGUUUUUACAGGAUAUUUAAGGUUUGUGAUCUCUUACUGUGCAGUAAGGAUGACCUGCAAGUUGUCAUGUUCUGGCCCUGAUCCAGCAAAGCACUUAAGUGUGUGCUUAACUUUGAGCAUUUGAGUUCCAUUUACUUUAACGUGAUUACUCAUGUGCACAAAAUUAAGCACAUGCUUAAGUGCCUUGUUGAUUGCAGCCAAUGCUGUGCGUUCAGCAGAUUUGAACUUCCUAAGGAAGUUAGAAGAAGUACAAGUUAGGAAGAUUUAGUUAUUACAUUACAGGCAGUGGGGAAGGAUGCUGUCAUCGACAGCACCAAACCCAACUAUAUUAAUUUACUUUGUUAACUUCUUUGUCUCCUAAGUGAGACAAUGUAUUUCUUGCAAUCGAAGAACGUCAUACAGAAGAGCUGUGUUGCUCCGAUAAUCUGAGUAGAUAUGAUUGAAGUCUGAAUAGUUUUUUUUUUUUACUUUUUUUUUUUCAUAAAAUGUAAGGUUUAUUUGUCUGAUAUAUUGUUGCUUUUGAGUGCUGGAAAGGCAUUUUAUUUGGGAUACUUGAUUAAGGCUCACAAGCACAGCAUUCUUAAAGGAUGAAUCCUUAUCUAGAAUGGAUACAAAUGCUUCACUUGUUUGAAAAGCUUUAUUAGAGAUGACUGCAGACUUAUGCUGGUAAUGUUGUUUCAUGAUUUAAAUGUACCCACAUCAACAUUAAAAACAAUGUUUAAAACAGUAAGUUAUACACACUGUCUUAAUUUUAUUAUAAAAGGAAAUUUAUUCUGCAGAGAUCAAUAUCAUGAUGUAAGAGUGUUGCUUAGAGCAAGAUAUUGGUCUAAGAGUAAAGGAGCCUUUACUUGUGAAAGCGAAAGAGAAAAAGAAGGAAAAGGAAAGGAGAAAAGGAAAAGAAAAGAAGAAGAAAAAGAAGAAAAGAAAAAGAAAGAGGAAGAG